AUUGAACGCUGGCGGCAUGCUUUACACAUGCAAGUCGAACGGUAACAGGCCUUCGGGUGCUGACGAGUGGCGCACGGGUGAGUAAUGCAUCGGAACGUGCCCAGAGGUGGGGGAUAACGCAGCGAAAGCUGUGCUAAUACCGCAUGUGAUCUGAGGAUGAAAGCGGGGGACCAGGCAGCAAUGUUUGGCCUCGCGCCUUUGGAGCGGCCGAUGUCAGAUUAGGUAGUUGGUGGGGUAAAGGCCUACCAAGCCGACGAUCUGUAGCUGGUCUGAGAGGACGACGAGCCACACUGGGACUGAGACACGGCCCAGACUCCUACGGGAGGCAGCAGUGGGGAAUUGUGGACAAUGGGCGCAAGCCUGAUCCAGCAAUGCCGCGUGCGGGAAGAAGGCCUUCGGGUUGUAUAACGCUUUUGUACGGAACGAAAAGGCUCUGGCUAGUACCUGGGGCUGAUGACGGUACCGGAAGAAUAAGCACCGGCUAACUACGUG
rnacentral:rRNA from 1 species